rnacentral:rRNA from 1 species
GCAAGUCGAGCGAGAAGUUCCUUCGGGAAUGGAGAGCGGCGAAAGGGUGAGUACGUAUAAAUGACCUACCUCUAAGGGGGGAUAACAGUUCGAAAGGACUGCUAAUACCGCAUAAGGUCACAGCGAUGCAUGUUGUUGUGAUUAAAGGUGGGGGACCUUCGGGCCUCAUGCUUAGAGAGGGGUUUGUAUUCUAUUAGCUAGUUGGUGGGGUAAAAGCCUACCAAGGCAUUGAUGGAUAGCCGGCCUGAGUGGGUGGAC